rnacentral:rRNA from 1 species
UACGUAGGGGGCAAGCGUUGUCCGGAAUUAUUGGGCGUAAAGCGCGCGCAGGCGGUCAUUUAAGUCUGGUGUAUAAACCAAGGGCUCAACCUUUGGACGCAUUGGAAACUGGGUGACUGGAGUGUAGUAGAGGAAAGUGGAAUUCCACGUGUAGCGGUGAAAUGCGUAGAGAUGUGGAGGAACACCAGUGGCGAAGGCGACUUUCUGGCCUAUAACUGACGCUGAGGCGCGAAAGCGUGGGGAGCAAACAGG